GAAGCAGGUUGGGCAGUCGCUUUUAUAAAAAAUAUGAAAGAGGAAAGUCCGAACACCGAAGGGCAGCGAGCCGGAUAACGUCCGGGCGUUUGAUGUAAAAAUCAAACGACGACAAGUGCAACAGAGAAUAGACCAGCCACGCCGAUUUCGGAUUUUUGAUUUCGGAUUUCGGAAUUGAAGAUUUGAAAUUUGUGGUGAUGGGUGAAACGGUGAGUUAAGAGCUUCACCAGCGCGUUUGGUAACAGGCGCGGCUAGGUAAACUCCUCGCGGUGCAAGACCAAAUAGAAAAACGCUUUUUAUGAGUUGCCCGCUCAAAAGUCUGGAGAAAUCCGGACGGCGUUUUCGGGUAGGUCGCUUGAGCUGUUUGGCGACAAAUAGCCUAGAUGAAUGAUUGCCGUCUGUUUUUAUGACAGAUACAAAAUUCGGCUUACAGACUUGUUUCAAAA
rnacentral:RNase_P_RNA from 1 species